GCAAAAGCCUGUAUUUCCUAAGUAUUCCAGACAAUCCAAAUAUUUCAUCAAAGAUCACUUUUGAAAACUGGAUCAGCCCGGGGGGUUAAUUUCUCAUAAAACUACGUUGCUACGGUUUUUUUUUUUUUUUUUUUUUUUUUUUUUUAAUACCCAGGCGAACAUGCUGAGUCUCAGCCCAGAGUGGAGAGCCCAGGGCGGGAAAGUUCCCGAGGGUCCCAGCCCUCCGCGAGGUCUGCUCGGCGGAGCCCGGGCUGGAGCACCGGGGAUCAAGGAGGCCCGAAGCAGCGCAGAGCGUCGGGUGGCCCCGGGAAGCCGCGGCCGCGCCGGGAGCCUCUCCCGGUUGCCGGCUGCCGAGUCUGCCGCUUCCUGCCGCGGGGUCCGGAGAGAGCGGCGCUCCGCGCCACCAGCCAGCCCGUCCGACCGACCGCCCGCCCGCCCGCCCAGGAUGCGCUCGCCUGCCAGGGAAGCGCUCACACCUCGCACAAAAGGCGCCGCGGCGGGACGGCGGGGAAUAGGCGACCGCUGCCUCCCGGAACUUUGCAGACAUCGCACCGCAGCUCCACAGCUCCAAACCCCCGGCGCAGGAGGAGGCCGAGGCGGCGGCGGAGAGUCGGGGCAUCGCCCGGCAGUGCCUCCGCCUUGCCGGCUGCCGGCGGCUCCCGCCCCCGGUUAACCAGCGCUCGCUCUUAAAGGCGCCCGCUGCUGGUUAGGCCGCGAGAGCUAGAAUGGAGAAGUUGAUGUUUUCCUACCCAAAGUACCAGCUUUCCCACUGGGAAGAUAGCUCAGUGGGUAAAGCUGAUUGCCACCCAAGUCCAAUGACCUGAUUUUGAGUCCCCAGGAUGAUGGACAAACUAACUCCCCCAAAUGGCUCUUUGAGCACCACACAGCAGCCUCAACAUGAAUGAACCCCCCCACACACACACACACAUACACACACACGGAGAAUGUAAUAAAAUUAAAAUAUGUUAACUUCCGCUUGUUUCUUCCCACAUAGGAAACUUUCUAAUUGUCACAGAUCUAAACCAUUUCAUAUUUUUCUUUUCACUUGUAAGUGUUAUAGGAUUCCUGACAUAUCAUAUCUAUAGCUCUAGAAGAGACUUUAGAACAACCUAAAACUUCCCUUUCAUUUAAGGAAUAAAGAAAUAAAAUUUCAACAUCUGACUUGCUGGGGCCACACAGCUGUUCUCAGCUUCAGUUGUGUGCCUGCUUCUAAAUGUACAGGAGCAGUGAAGGAGAAUAUGGCCACAGUCCCCAGGAAAGUAGAUUGAGCUGCGGAGAGAUGACCCUCCAGUGGGCGGGGGCGGGGGACCACAAAGCAUCAUGUGACAUGAAUUCCAAUUCUUAGCCAGGCAUGACAGAACCAACCCAGAACUCAGCAAUGGAGAGCAGAAAUAGGAGGACCUCUGGAGCUUGUCAGUGAGACAGUCUAAAGGAAUCGGUGAGCUCCAGGUUCCAUAGGAUAACCUAUCUAAAAAAUAUGGUGGGGAAUGAUUAAGAGUCCUGAUGUGACUUCUAGUCUCCUCAUGCACACAUGUGCACACACUCAGACAUGUUCACACACAUAUGAUAAGAAUAGGCCUGAAAGUAAGUGCUAGAGAUGGGAAUCAUCUUGAAAGUGCUUUUGGUUUGGGUUUGUUUGUUUGUUUGUUUGUUUGUUUGUUUUGCUUGUGUGUUUGUUUGUUUUUAAAGGAAGUAAAGACAUACAACGGCAAGAAACACCGAAGUACAUACAUAAAUGGGAAAGCCUUGGUGGGGGAAAGGUAUUGCCUUUUGUUGGAAUAGAAAAGAGCCCUGGAUUUUAAUGGCUUAGAAAAAAGUCUCUAAUAGCCCCAAUAUCAUUUUGCUAUAUAUAAAUCUGUAUCAUUUUCUCUGUUUGUGUUAGAGGCAAAGUACAGAUCAGGAGUCUCACCUCCUAUAUGCACUAAGCAAGUGCUCCACCACACGGCUAAAUGCCUAGACUCUAUCAUUACUGUUUUAAUUAGACAAAGUAAAAACCUGUGUACUCCUUUAAAACAUUUAUUCAUUUUUAGAUAUCACUUGUCAGUACUUUCCAUCAUGUAUGUUUGGAGUGAUGUGAUUGCUGUCUUACUUUCAGUCAUGUUCAAAGUAAGUUCAAAAAGCCUUGUUUCUGAACCCAAAUAGACUAGAUAGGAAACUACUUUUCUGGCAAGAUAUUAAGCAAAUAGUGUCUUUCUAAAAAUCAGUUUCUCGCUAGGUAAGUCGGCACAUUGCUUUUGUCCUGGCAAUCAGGGGGCUAAUGGAGGAGGAUCGUGAGUUCUAGGACAGCUGGAGCAAUAUGCCAAGUCCAUGUCUCAAAGGAAGGAAAAGAAACCAGUUUCCACGUGUACCCAAGGUUUACAGCAUAGCGAGGUACACAUGGUAAGGCCUACAAAUGGUUCUUCUAAUUUGUAGAUAAAUUGAAAUUUCUCAACUCUGACUACACAUUAGAAUCACCAGAAAGCUUGCUAAAAGUAGCACCUGGGACCCACCCUCAGGGAAGCCAGACAGAAAUGAAACAGAAGGUCCUCGGUGAUUCUGAUCGCCAUGGCUGGGAGCCCCGGGAUGUCCACACAGCAGAGUUCCUGUAGACCUGGGUGGGGAGCAUGAUGGUAUGUGUGCUCUUUCUUCCAUAUGCACAGUGAUCCUGACUGAUCUUUCUGGAUUCGCAGUGGUGCUACAGAGCAUGGCAGGCAGGUGAUAGACUUCUAACUGCUUUCUGCUCUGCAUUGCCCCUGAAACAUUCCCAACUGUGGUGCAGACUGCAUGUGGUUUAUCUCAGUCGGCAGCACUGCCUGAUUCCUAAGUCAUAAUCUCUCCUGUGCCUUUCUGCACGUGCAAUUUAUAGGCAGUCAUCAGCACACGGCAGUCUCUGGACAAGUGAGAAGGGAAGAAAACACCACCAAAGAGUUCCUCAAGAAGAGGUCUAGAAGCAAGAAGCGAGUGGUUUUGGAUCCCUGGAU
ensembl:processed_transcript